rnacentral:rRNA from 1 species
AGUGAACGCUGGCGGUAGGCCUAACACAUGCAAGUCGAACGGCAGCACAGAGGAGCUUGCUCCUUGGGUGGCGAGUGGCGGACGGGUGAGGAAUACAUCGGAAUCUACUCUGUCGUGGGGGAUAACGUAGGGAAACUUACGCUAAUACCGCAUACGACCUACGGGUGAAAGCAGGGGACCUUCGGGCCUUGCGCGAUUGAAUGAGCCGAUGUCGGAUUAGCUAGUUGGCGGGGUAAAGGCCCACCAAGGCGACGAUCCGUAGCUGGUCUGAGAGGAGGAUCAGCCACACUGGAACUGAGACACGGUCCAGACUCCUACGGGAGGCAGCAGUGGGGAAUAUUGUGCAAUGUGCGCAAGCCUGAUCCAGCCAUACCGCGUGGGUGAAGAAGGCCUUCGGGUUGUAAAGCCCUUUUGUUGGGAAAGAAAUCCAGCUGGCUAAUACCCGGUUGGGAUGACGGUACCCAAAGAAUAAGCACCGGCUAACUUCGUGCCAGCCGCCGCGGUAA